AACGAACGCUGGCGGCAGGCUUAACACAUGCAAGUCGAACGCAUCCUUCGGGGUGAGUGGCAGACGGGUGAGUAACGCGUGGGAAUCUACCCAUCUCUGCGGAAUAGCUCCGGGAAACUGGAAUUAAUACCGCAUACGCCCUACGGGGGAAAGAUUUAUCGGGGAUGGAUGAGCCCGCGUUGGAUUAGCUAGUUGGUGGGGUAAAGGCCUACCAAGGCGACGAUCCAUAGCUGGUCUGAGAGGAUGAUCAGCCACAUUGGGACUGAGACACGGCCCAAACUCCUACGGGAGGCAGCAGUGGGGAAUAUUGGACAAUGGGCGCAAGCCUGAUCCAGCCAUGCCGCGUGAGUGAUGAAGGCCUUAGGGUUGUAAAGCUCUUUCACCGAUGAAGAUAAUGACGGUAGUCGGAGAAGAAGCCCCGGCUAACUUCGUGCCAGCCGCCGCCGUAAUAC
rnacentral:rRNA from 1 species